rnacentral:lncRNA from 1 species
ACUUCGCGAAGUGGCACUUCGGGGCGGGCGGCCCGCCGGGUCGCGGCCUGGCGCUGCGGGGCGGGGAGCGGCUCGGACGCAGGACGCCGCGGGCCGGGCUUACAGGUGGGAGAGGCCCCGACCCCGCCGCUUCGCAGGCCAGCUUCCUGCUGUGUUCCCUGCACCCACCGAUCUCACACGCAGCCCUAGGACAGACGUCCACUGGCCUGAGUUGGGUCUGGGGCCAACACGGAGCAGGUGGGGGUAGAGCAGCUCUGCUCGCCUGGAGGAAAGUUGAAUGGCUGGAACCAAGAUGACAGAUGGAGGCUGGCAGGCAAACACGGGAGGCCUCCUCACUCCAAGAGGGGAGUCAGCCUGGGGACAGUUCUUCUCCAGGCCCUGCUGCUCCCAUCAGCUGCAACACAGGAGAGGUAGGCUUCUCCGGAAAAGCUCCCACGGUCCUGGAUCCCGCUCCACCUUCUAGAAGCUCCCAGCGUUACUUCCUGAGCUGGCCUGCACAUCGUUGCGCUACUCCCGUCCAAGGGGGGACAUAUUCGGUGACCGACUCAGAACGCAGCCUGCUUCCCGGGUGGCCAGUGGCUCAGCAGUCUCGGUGCCUGAGCCUGCUCCCUCCGCCCGGCGGCUGGGCAGGUGGCUGAAUGCGGGCUGGAGGCCUUCCCUGAGAAGACGGUUAUCCAUGCUGUACAUGGAAGUGACCAGCUCGGCACCUGAGGAGACACACCGCGGCCGAUGACAGGCGCAGAGCAGGACGUGGUGAGGUCCUCAUACCUAGGAAUGCAGAACAAGGGCAAGAAACUCGGUGCCCGCCUGGCAUCUGCCCUGCACCAGUGGCCUCCAGGAAGUUCUCCACCAAGGAUGUUCCCCAGGCACUCUGUGCUCGCCUUCACCAGCGUCCUGUGAGGUCUUUCACACUGAUGGGGAAGCCUUUCUAAAGGGUAUUAGGGGGCUUGGGGGCUGGGGGUGCUGAGUACCAAGGGUCCCAGGAAGAGACAGGCCAGGCUUAUGGGCUGGGCAUCCAGAGAUCGCCCUGACGCCAGCUCCAGGUGGAGUUAGGAGGGCACUCUUGUCCCGACGCAUUUACAGACCACUCCCUCUUCUUGUUCCCCUCGACUCUGAGAGUGUGGUGGGGUAGCUGUGGAACCUGACUGCUUGCCUGAAGGUUGGGCAGCGUGGCUAGAAAUUGCGGCCCAGACCUGGGAUCUCACCCACACCUCUAUGAGACGUCCUGAAGGAAACCAUCGACUGAGCGGAGAGGCUUCGCCUUGCCCGCCUCCUCCCAGGAAGGAAGAGCGGAAGAGGCGUCGCCAGCCACCGAGACUGCCAGCCACCACCCCCUCCCAGACUCUCUGUCCCCACCCCAGACCAGGGUCACCUUCUUCCUGCACUGGGGGUGGGGUGCGGUAGGUUUCGCAAUCCAGACUGUGGGGUGGGGGUGGGAGCAGGUGUGUGUAAAUGAGCAGCUCGUCAGGAGUCACUGAGAAGGAGGCAGAUGGAGCUGGUACCCAGCAGGUCUCCUCUCAUAAGCGUCAACCCUCGCCUGGGCGGGCUGGGGGAUCCUCAGCACCCCAGCUCUGAGCCAGGGGUCUGCAACCCGGGCACCAGCGAUGGGCCCUCAUGCACACAGGGCGCCGAGCGGGGCCGGAGGCAAGAGUGACUUCAGACAGGAACCCGACGCCACAGCCGGUGACGCGGACCCUGGGUCAGCCAGCACGAUGGGCCGCUGGGGAGAGGAGGGCUGGAGGCAGAGAGUGUAAGUGUGCAGCCUUCAUCAGCUUAUUUUUAGUCGCGUUAUGUAAGUGGCUUCAUCUCAACGUCACAUGGGGGGGGGUCUCAGAUUUAAUUACAGGAUGACAGCCUUUGCUUUUCAAGCAAGCUGUUCUCCUGGCAAGCCAGGCGAAGGAUUGGGGAGUUUUGCUAAACAGAAGGAGCCCUUUCUGAGGUGACCACCCGUCAAAACUUGAACCCGCUUCCACCUCCGUCUCCCUCUUCCCGACCAGCCUCACCCAGCCUCGGCUGAAUGUGGCCUGAGAGUAGCCACUUGUCCGCAAUCACAGGGACGUUUUAUGCCUGUCAAGGGAGCUUCCUCUCUCCUCUUCCUCCCCCUCCCACCUUCUGCCUGGCAGCUUUGCCUUCUCUCCAAGAGAAGGGUCCACCCAAUCAGAACUCCUCUUCCUUUUCAUUCCUGGAUUAAAGCACUUGUAAUCAGUAACCAGAAAGUUCCAGAGCGGGAGAGACCGGAAGGCACUGGAGUGCUAUCGGACGGGUGUCUGGGGCAGAGCCAGGAGGGCGAGCCUCUUCUCUCCCCGCCUGCCCUUGCUCACUUCCCCCUCCAUGCCAGGUGCUGUGGGAGCAGCUGGGCCUGGCCGGGGUCGGCGGGUGAAGCUAUCCGCAUGGUGUCUGGAGCACCGUUUCUUUGCUUCCUGGAUGGGCUGGAUGGGCUCCCGUGUUCUUCACCAAUGGCAGCGUUACCAGCACCAAUGGCAGCGUUACCAGCAAGAAGGCAAAGGCAGGAGCACAUCGAGGGUGGGAGCCAGGGCUGUGGGGUCAGGAGUCCCGCUCCUUGCCGCGGGAAGCCUGGCUCAGCCACCUCCAGCACACUUCGGCUUUGUCCAGCAUAAAAGGCAGAGCGACGUUUUCACUGCAGGCUGUUUCCCACCAGGGCAAGUGGGACAGGGCGAGUGCUGACGUCUGCAGGCAUGGUGUGCAUUUAGGGGUGGGCGGCACCGAGGGGGCAUCAUUUGGCAUAGGCGGGCCCGGGGGCCACUGGGCUAGAUGACUGGCUGGUUGCUGGGGGCAGGUGUCACAGCCUCUCUGAGCACCCUCUAAGUGGAGGACAGAACAUUGUUGGGAGGAGUCCAGGCAUAAAGUGACAUAAACAGCGCAGAGAAUGGGACCAGCGCACCUGAGAGGUGAUCAUUAGCCUCAGCAACUGGAUGGGACAUUCCGAAGAGCUCCCAGCCAACACAGAUGGUCACUCCAGAGGCUGACAUUUAAAAGGAAGGGGCCCGGCCGGGCACAGUGGCUCACGCCUGUAAUCACAACACUUUGGGAGGCUGAGGCGGGCAGAUCAACUGGGGUCAGGAGUUCAAAACCAGCCUGGCCAACAUGGUGAAACCGCAUCUCUGCUGAAAAUACAAAAAAUUAGCCAGGCAUGGUGGUGGGCACCUGUAAUCCCAGCUACUCAGGAGGCUGAGGUAGGAGGAUCGCUUGAACCCAGGAAGUAGAGGUUGCAGUGAGCCGAGAUUGUGCCAUUGCACUCCAGCCUGGGCGACAAGCGAAACUUCGUCUCAAAAUAAAUAAAAGUAAGGGGCACAGGGAGGGGGCCCCAGCUCGUGCCCCUUCUGUGUGGGCUGCACAUGGUGACUUCCUUCCAGAGAGCACAGAGUGGGAGGUAGGCAAGGCGUCUCCACAGUGGAGAGCCCGACCCACUGUCUCAGCCCAGAGGUCAAGGCUGGCACCAUCACCGAGAGGUCACACGGGCAGAUGUGACAGGGCGCUUCACCACUGGGCUCUUCCUCCCAGACCCAUAACCCUUGUCUUAGUAUUAGAAAAACACUGGCAGACCGGGCGCAGUGGCUUACACCUGUAAUCGCAGCAUUUUGGGAGGCCGAGGUGGGAAGAUUGUUCAAGAGCAGUCUGGGCAACAUGGUGAGACCCCAUCUCUACAAAAAAAAUUUUUUUUUUAAUUAGCCAGGCGUGAUGGCACAUGCCUGUGGUCCUAGCCACUAGAGGCUGAGGUGGGAGGAUCACUGGAGCCCAGGAGGUCAAGGCUGCAGUGAGCUGUGAUCACACCACUGCACUCCAGCCUUGGCGACAAACCAAGACCCUGUCUCG